rnacentral:rRNA from 1 species
GAUGAACGCUGGCGGCGUGCCUAAUACAUGCAAGUCGAGCGAACGGACGAGAAGCUUGCUUCUCUGAUGUUAGCGGCGGACGGGUGAGUAACACGUGGAUAACCUACCUAUAAGACUGGGAUAACUUCGGGAAACCGUAGCUAAUACCGGAUAAUAUUUUGAACCGCAUGGUUCAAAAGUGAAAGACGGUCUUGCUGUCACUUCUAGAUGGAUCCGCGCUGCAUUAGCUAGUUGGUAAGGUAACGGCUUACCAAGGCAACGAUGCAUAGCCGACCUGAGAGGGUGAUCGUCCACACUGGAACUGAGACACGGUCCAUACUCCUACGGGAGGCAGCAGUAGGGAAUCUUCCGCAAUGGGCGAAAGCCUGACGGAGCAACGCCGCGUGAGUGAUGAAGGUCUUCGGAUCGUAAAACUCUGUUAUUAGGGAAGAACAUAUGUGUAAGUAACUGUGCACAUCUUGACGGUACCUAAUCAGAAAGCCACGGCUAACUACGUG